GGAGAGAUGGCUGAGUGGUCGAAGGCGCACGAUUGGAAAUCGUGUGUACGUUAAUAGCGUACCGUGGGUUCAAAUCCCACUCUCUCCGCCA
rnacentral:tRNA from 1 species